rnacentral:rRNA from 1 species
UUGAAGUCGAGAAUGAAAGGAAAAAUUAAAAUAAACUGUCUUAAAAAUUUUAUUUAANAAUUUUAAAUAUGGUGAAAAUUCCAUAAAUAUUUUAAUAGACGAGAAGACCCUAUGAAUUAUAAAUAAAAAAAUUUUUAAAAAAUUUUAAAUUUUUGUUGGGGCAACAUAGAAAAAUAUUUAAAAUUCAUAAAUAAAAAAUUUACAUUUGAAGUCUUACUAUAAAUGAAUUUAAUU